AGAGUUUGAUCCUGGCUCAGGAUGAACGCUGGCGGCGUGCCUAACACAUGCAAGUCGAACGAAGCUCCCGGACGGAGUAUUUCCGUGUGAAGACCAGGUGACUGAGUGGCGGACGGGAGAGUAACAGCGUGGACAACCUGCCCUGUACUGGGGGAUAACGACCCGAAACGGCUGCUGAUACCGCAUAUGCGCACCGUGCCGCAUGGCACAAGGCGGAAAGCCUAAAUCUUGUCUAGUACGGUACACGAUGGGUCCACGUCUGAUUAGGUAGUUGGCCGGGUAACGGCCCACCAAGCCCACGAUCAGUAGCCGGCUUGAGAGGGCGGACGGCCACACUGGGACUGAGACACGCCCCAGACUCCUGCGGGAGGCAGCAGUGGGGAAUAUUGCACAAUGGGGGGAACCCUGAUGCAGCGACGCCGCGUGAAGGAAGAAGUAUCUCGGUAUGUAAACUUCUAUCAGCAGGGAAGAAAGAAGCCGGUCCCUGAUUAAGAAGCCCCGGCUAAUUACGUGCCAGCAGCCGCGGUAAUAGGUAGGGGGCGAGCGUUAUCCGGAUUUACUGGGUGUAAAGGGAGCGUAGACGCCCAUGCAAUCUCGGUGUGAAUGGUGCGGGCACAACUCGCAGACUGCACUGAGAACUGUAUGGCUGGAGUGCCGGAGGGGCAGGCGGAAUUCUUGGUGUAGCGGUGAAAUGCGUAGAUAUCAGGAGGAACACCGGUGGGGAAGGCGGCCUGCUGGACGGCGACUGACGUUGAGGCUCGAAAGCGUGGGGAGCGACCAGAAAGAGAUACCCUGGUAGUCCACCCCGUAAACGAUGUAUUCCAGGUGUCGGGCCUCAAGGCUGUCCGGUCCGGUAGCAACGCAUUAAAGUAUCCCACCUGGGGGUACGUUGGCAGGAAUGAAAUCAAGGGAUUGACGGGACCCGCACAAGCGGUGGAGCAUGUGGUUUAAUCCGAAGCAACGCGAAGAACCUUACCAAGCCUUGACAUCCCGCUGACAGGGGCGCAACGGCCCCCUCCCUUCGGGGCAGCGGUGCCAGGUGGUGCAUGGUUGUCGUCAGCUCGUGUCGUGAGAUGUUGGGUUAAGUCCCGCAACGAGCGCAACCCCUGCUUCCAGUAGCCAGCACGUAGAGGUGGGCACUCUGGAGGGACUGCCGGGGAUGACCCGGAGGAAGGCGGGGAUGACGUCAAAUCAUCAUGCCCCUUAUGGUCUGGGCUACACACGUGCUACAAUGGCGCACACAAAGGGAGGCGAAGGGGUGACCCGGAGCAAACCCCAGAAAAGGCGCCCCAGUUCGGAUCGCAGCCUGCAACCCGGCUGCGUGAAGCUGGAAUCGCUAGUAAUCGCGGAUCAGAAUGCCGCGGUGAAUACGUUCCCGGGUCUUGCACACACCGCCCGUCA
rnacentral:rRNA from 1 species